rnacentral:rRNA from 1 species
GAUGAACGCUGGCGGCGUGCCUAAUACAUGCAAGUCGAGCGAACGGACGAGAAGCUUGCUUCUCUGAUGUUAGCGGCGGACGGGUGAGUAACACGUGGAUAACCUACCUAUAAGACUGGGAUAACUUCGGGAAACCGGAGCUAAUACCGGAUAAUAUUUUGAACCGCAUGGUUCAAAAGUGAAAGACGGUCUUGCUGUCACUUAUAGAUGGAUCCGCGCUGCAUUAGCUAGUUGGUAAGGUAACGGCUUACCAAGGCAACGAUGCAUAGCCGACCUGAGAGGGUGAUCGCCCACACUGGAACUGAGACACGGUCCAGACUCCUACGGGAGGCAGCAGUAGGGAAUCUUACGCAGUGGGCGGAAGCCUGACGGAGCAACGCCGCGUGAGUGAUGAAGGUCUUCGGAUCGUAAAACUCUGUUAUUAGGGAAGAACAUAUGUGUAAGUAGCUGUGCACAUCUUGACGGUACCUAAUCAGAAAGCCACGGCUAACUACGUG